GGCUCGUUAGUCAAGCGGUUAAGACGUUGGCCUCUCACGCCGAAAACGGGGGUUCGAUUCCCCCACGAGUCACCA
rnacentral:tRNA from 3 species